rnacentral:tRNA from 1 species
GCAAUAAUAGCUUAAAAUAAAGCAUUGGUCUUGUAAGCCAAAGAUAAAAAUCAUUUUUUAUUGCU